rnacentral:rRNA from 1 species
ACGUAUGCAAUAAGAGCAUACGGUGGAUGCCUUGACAUCAAAAGACGAAGAAGGACGUUGCAGGGUGCGAAAAGUUUCGGUGAGGUCCCAAGCAACCUUUGACCCGGAAAUAUCCGAAUGGGGAAACCCAUGUUGAGUAAUAUCAACAUAUCAUAUACCGAAUACAUAAGUAUAUGAAGAAGACCUGGUGAAGUGAAACAUCUCAGUAGCCAGAGGAAAAGAAAACAAUAUUAUGCUUCUCAUUUAUUUCAUUCCUAAUUACUCUUUAUUUAUUCGUAGAUAAGGGUAAUUAGGUAAUGAAUUGAGUAGCUGUGAUUCCCUAAGUAGCGGCGAGCGAACGGGGAAGAGCCCAAACCUAUAGCGUGUUGUGCUUAAAGAUGAUGUAUCUUCGGAUGUAUUUGAAGUGAGUACUUAAAGGACAGGCCGUUGCGCCAUAGGGGUUGUAGGAUAUAACUUCGGUAACCUGUGAAGCCGAAUAAUAUAUACAUUAUAUAGUUGAAGUCUUCUGGAAAGAAGCAUCAUAGAAGGUGAUAAUCCUGUACACGAAAUAUAGUAUAUACAUUAUAGUUAUAUUCCUGAGUACGGCGGGACACGUGAAACCCCGUCGGAAUCUGUCGCGACUAUGCGAUAAGGCUAAAUACUUUUGAUGAUCGAUAGUGAACAAGUACCGUGAGGGAAAGGUGAAAAGUAGCCCGGAGAGGGCGAUGAAAUAGUUUCUGAAACCGUAUGCUUACAAUGAGCUGGAGUCCUAAGUAUCUUUAUUGAUGCGGGAUGACAGUAUUCCUAUUGAAGAAUGAGCCUGCGAGUUACUUUACGUGGCAAGGUUAAGUUCCUUUGGAACGGAGCCAUAGGGAAACCGAGUCUGAAUAGGGCGAUUGAGUCGCGUAGAGUAGACCCGAAACUGAGUGAGCAAUCCAUGGCCAGGAUGAACCCUAAGUAAAAUUAGGGGGAGGUCCGAACCAAUACGCCGUGCAACACGUUUGGAUGAGCUGUGGAUAGCGGAGAAAUUCCAAUCGAACUCAGUAAUAGCUGGUUCUCCUCGAAAUAGCUUUAGGGCUAGCUGUAUAUGUUCCCUCUGGGGGUAGAGCACUGGAUGAGAAGUGGGUCCUUCGGGAUACCCUUUUCAAUCAAACUCCGAAUACCAGAGAUUAAAAAUAUGCAAGUUAGACUGUGGGGGCUAAGCUCCAUGGUCAAAAGGGAAACAGCCCAGAUCGCCAAAUAAGGUCCCUAAAUCACUACUAAGUGUUAAAGGUGGUGUUAAUUCUUAUACAACCAGGAAGUUGGCUUAGAAGCAGCCAUCUUUUAAAGAUAGCGUAAUAGCUCACUGGUCAAGAGUUUUCGCGCCGAAAAUGUAACGGGGCUCAAGUAGUGUACCGAAUUUGCGAAUUCUAUGAAUCUACGGAUGAUUAGAGUGGUAGAGGAGCAUUCCUAAUGCGUCGAAGUCGGAUCCGCGAGGACCGGUGGAGCGUUGGGAAGCGAGAAUGCAGGCACAAGUAGCAAAAAUGGAUGUGAAAGUCAUCCACGCCGAAAACCCAAGGUUUCCAGGGCAACGUGAAUCGUCCCUGGGUUAGUCGAUCCUAAGGCCAGGCCGAAAGGCGUAACCGAUGGAAGAGCAGGUUAAUAUUCCUGCACUUGGUAUAGUUUGUUAUAGAACCCACAUCCUAAUGGUAAGAGCGAUCUACUGGCUAUGAUCGUUUCGCAAGAUGGAGAUUGCGUCUUCGGACAAAGUCAACUCAUGUUUGAGGGGUGUCAAGAAAAAUUUUAUAACGCUAGGCUAUAUCAACCCGUACCGCAAACCGACACAGGUGGGUAGGUCGAGAAGACCAAGGCGCACGAGAGAAACAUUGGUUAAGGAACUCGGCAAAAUAGCGGCCGUAACUUCGGGAUAAGGCCUGCCUCUUUUAUUAGAGGCCUCAGCAAAAGACUUCAUGCGACUGUUUACCAAAAACACAGCUCUCUGCUAACACGCAAGUGGAUGUAUAGGGGGCGAUGCCUGGCCAGUGUCAGAACGUUAAGGGGAUGGGUGAACCACUUCGGUGGGGAAGCUUUGAACUGAAGCGCUGAUGAACGCCGGCGGUAACUAUAACCGUCCUAAGGUAGCGAAAUUCCUUGUCGGGUGAGUUCCGACCCGCACGAAUGGCACAACGAUGUGAAGACUGUCUUAACCAUGUACUCGGCGAAAAUGCAAGUGUCGUGAAGAUGCGACAUACCUGCAGUUAGACGAAAAGACCCCGUGAAGCUUUACUACAAGUUGUUAUUGGUAUAUUAUUUCAUCUGUUCAGCAUAGGUGGGAGCUUCGGCACCCGUGAGAUACCACCCUUAUGUUGUGAUGUACCUAAUCUUUUUCCAUGAAUCUGGAAAAGGAGACAGUAGCUGCUGGGUAGUUUAACUGGGGCGGUUGCCUCCCAAAAUGUAACGGAGGCGUUUACAAAGGUUGGCUUGAUCCGGAUGGAAAUCGGAUUGGACGUGCAAACGCAAAAGCCAGCUUUACUGCAAGGGCUACCACCCGCGCAGUUGCGAAAGCAGAAGUUAGUGAUCCGACCGUACGAUAUAGGACGGCGGAAGCUCAACGGAUAAAAGUUACUCCGGGGAUAACAGGCUGAUAACGCCCAAGCGUCCACAGCGACGGCGUUGUUUGGCACCUCGAUGUCGGCUCAUCGCAUCCUGGGGCUGGAGAAGGUCCCAAGGGUUAGGCUGUUCGCCUAUUAAAGCGGUACGCGAGCUGGGUUCAGAACGUCGUGAGACAGUUCGGUCUCCUAUCUACUGUAGGCGUUGAAUAUUGAGGAAACUCACCCCUAGUACGAGAGGACCGGGGUGGACAAACCUCUGGUGUACCAGUUGUACCUGCCAAGGGCAUCGCUGGGUAGCUAAGUUCGGUACGGAUAAGCGCUGAAAGCAUCUAAGCGCGAAGCCGUUUCCAAGAUAAAUAUUCUUUUGAGACUCGUUCGAGACUAGAACGUUGAUAGGCUGUAGAUGUAAGAUUGGCAACAAUUUGAGUCGAGCAGUACUAAUAUGUCGAGCAUACGACG